AUGAGCAGGCUGGCGUCGGAGCUCCACCGGUUGCGGAGGUCGCCAUGGGAGGUGCUGUGCUCCGCGCUGGUAUCAUGCGGCCUGGUGCUCUUCUCGCAGCUCGCCGUGGCCAUAGUGCCCCGCCUCCUCCCAUCCAUCUCCCUCCUCGCCAUGCUCCCCGUCGCAGGUUUGGUAUUCCUGGCGGCUAUUCUGGUGGGCAGGUUCUGGAGGAGGUUCAUCGGAGUGGCCGCGUCGGCGCCGCUGUUCGUGCUGUUCAAUGUGCUGUUUUUGUGGGGCGUCUACCUAUUCGUCAUCCGGAGAGAUACCUCUUCUCUACUAGACAUGCUGAUUAAUGCUGAGUGUGCACUGCUUCUGUGGGGACUUUACAGGAUUCUUUCUGGUGAUCCCGGCAUUGUUGCAUACGAAUCUUCAUUUUUGGAAGAGGCUGGCUGCAAGGAUUUCGUGGAUGCUAUAUGCUCGAGUGAGAAGUACCCAUCACUCUCAAGGGUGAGGCAUUGUAACUGUUGCAAAGCAAAUGUUAGAGGUUAUGACCACCAUUGCCCUGCAUUUGGUAAUUGCAUAGGACAGAAAAAUCAUAGGUUAUUUAUGGCACUUCUGACAGGAUUUGUUGUUGCUGAAUCGACAUAUACAAUGUGUUCAACUAAAUAUAUAACUAGAUGCAUAACCUCAGGAACUUUAAUAACUGAGAAUCAUUUGUCUCUAAACAUGGUGAUCGGCACAAUGCUCUUCUCAGUCCUCCAAGUGGUAUGGCAGGUUGUGUUCCUGAUAUGGCAUGUGUACGGCAUCUGCUUCAACAUCAGGACGCAUGAGUGGAUAAACUGGAAGAAAUAUCCUGAAUUCCAAAUGAAGGAACAGCCUCAGUCAGAUUUUGAAGUCAAGUUUGUCAAUCCAUACGACAAAGGCAUGCUUUGUAACAUUAGGGAGUUCCUGAAGCCGUAA
rnacentral:rRNA from 1 species